rnacentral:tRNA from 1 species
GCCUUUGUGAUGUAGUGGUCAGUAUGCUAGACUCGUAUCGAGAGGCCCGUGGUUCGAGUCCUGGCAAGGACA